UAGGGAAUCUUCCACAAUGGGCGCAAGCCUGAUGGAGCAACACCGCGUGAGUGAAGAAGGGUUUCGGCUCGUAAAGCUCUGUUGUUGGAGAAGAACGUGCGUGAGAGUAACUGUUCACGCAGUGACGGUAUCCAACCAGAAAGUCACGGCUAACUACGUGCCAGCAGCC
rnacentral:rRNA from 1 species